UACGUAGGGUGCGAGCGUUGUCCGGAAUUAUUGGGCGUAAAGAGCUUGUAGGCGGUUUGUCGCGUCUGCUGUGAAAAUCCGGGGCUCAACCCCGGACUUGCAGUGGGUACGGGCAGACUAGAGUGUGGUAGGGGAGACUGGAAUUCCUGGUGUAGCGGUGAAAUGCGCAGAUAUCAGGAGGACACCGAUGGCGAAGGCAGGUCUCUGGGCCACUACUGACGCUGAGAAGCGAAGCAUGGGGAGCGAAGCAGG
rnacentral:rRNA from 1 species